GAUGAAGAACGCAGCGAAAUGCGAUAAGUAAUGUGAAUUGCAGAAUUCAGUGAAUCAUCGAAUCUUUGAACGCACAUUGCGCCCCUUGGUAUUCCGGAGGGCAUGCCUGUCCGAGCGUCAUUGCUGCCCUCAAGCACGGCUUGUGUGUUGGGCCCCGUCCUCCUUCCGGGGGACGGGUCCGAAAGGCAGCGGCGGCACCGCGUCCGGUCCUCAAGCGUAUGGGGCUUUGUCACUCGCUUUGUAGGCCUGGCCGGCGCUUGCCGAUCAACCAAACUUUUUAUCAGGUUGACCUCGGAUCAGGUAGGGAUACCCGCUGAACUUAAGCAUAUCAAUAAGCGGAGGA
rnacentral:misc_RNA from 1 species